UUUUAUGAUGAGAAGAAAUAUUUACACAGACCUGUACUGAUUCCUGUUUUGAACCAGGACUAUGCAGAUAACCGUAUUAUUGCCUUUUUUUUCUGAUA
rnacentral:snoRNA from 1 species